CCUACGGGCUGCAGCAGUAGGGAAUCUUCCGCAAUGGACGAAAGUCUGACGGAGCAACGCCGCGUGAGCGAAGAAGGCCUUCGGGUCGUAAAGCUCUGUUGUUAGGGAAGAACAAGUAACGCAGUAACUGGCGUUACCGUGACGGUACCUAACGAGAAAGCCACGGCUAACUACGUGCCAGCAGCCGCGGUAAUACGUAGGUGGCAAGCGUUGUCCGGAAUUAUUGGGCGUAAAGCGCGCGCAGGCGGUUCCUUAAGUCUGAUGUGAAAGCCCACGGCUCAACCGUGGAGGGUCAUUGGAAACUGGGGGACUUGAGUGCAGAAGAGGAGAGCGGAAUUCCACGUGCAGCGGUGAAAUGCGCAGAGAUAUGGAGGAACACCAGUGGCGAAGGCGACUUUCUGGUCUGUAACUGACGCUGAUGUGCGAAAGCGUGGGGAUCAAACAGGAUUAGAUACCCGUGUAGUC
rnacentral:rRNA from 1 species